GCAGCCUAGCAAAUUAAAGAAGAUUCAAUUAAGAUUAUGAACCUUCCCAGACAAGGGGACAUUGAAGGAAGUCAGAUUAAUUCUGGAUCAGGAUAAAGCAAAAAUGUCCUAUCGUGGCCUUGGUGGCUGGGACCUCUGCCUCCCCAGCUGUGGCAGCGUCCAGCAAAGUGCUAAAACAGCUUUUAUUCGUUCCUUCAACAUACACCACACAGAAUUCCCUGGUGGUCUAGUGGUUAGAACUUCAUACUUCUACUACAAAGGAGCAUGAGUUGGAUCCCUCAUCCGGGAACUAAGAUCCUGCAAAGCAUGUGGCAUGGCCAAAAAAAAAAAAACCUCCCACACAUGCCAGACAUUUGGACAGGAGAUGGGAGAGCCUGGAAGUCCCCAACCUCAAGGAGCUUGUAAUAGAGUGGGCAGUGGUGCUGGGACGACAUUUCAGCAGGUGACUAUAUCAUCAGUAACGACUAAAGUUAAAAAAGCAUGAACAGGGUAACAGAAAACCCUUGUGCACAGAGUGGCAAUCAGGGAAAAACCACCGGGAGAACACGACCCUGCGCUGGAUCAUGAAGGACAGGAGGGUAUUGUCAGGGAAAGACCAGGGCAGAGGAGAGUUACAGAAGCGGCAAUCGCACCACAGUCCAAACACUAAGUAUGAUAAUCGAGCCAAUUAAUGGGGGUGAGGUGGGAGAUGAGGCAGGAGGCAGGAAAGGACCAGUUUAAAGGAGGCUGGUGUGCCCAGGCGAAGGGUUUAGGGUUUCACCCAGAAGACAAUGUCACCAAAGCAUUUUAAGCAAAAUAGGGACAGAAUCUGGUUUAUAUUUUAGAAAGACCCAUUUGGCUUCAAUGUUGAAUCUGGACUGGAGCAAGGAGGACACUAGUAAUGGGGAAAUUACAGCAAUCCUGGGAAAAACCAAGGCCAGAGCCCCUGUCCUGCACACACCCCGUCUUUGCAGUCGUGCUAAAUCCAACCGCCUCCAUGCAUCAGCAGACACAUGGCCCUUCCCAGUGCCACAAGCCAGGAGACAGCAGGACUGGGGCACCACAUAUCUAUUACCCUCCCUGACUUCUUAGCACACAUCUCCUCAUUAUAAGUUAUCUUAGAAGCUAAUCUGUCAAACUUCAGGAAGGGUUAAGUAGGCAAACCAAGUUCAAAAAGGAAAAAAAGACAUGGAGAAGGUAACACUGUCUAUGUGGGUCCCCAACCACAGGCUCUCCCGAGCACUGUGGGGAAUGGGCUGGGAUGUGGGCUGUGUGCCAAGAGGCUGGCAAGUCGGGACAGAAGAGGUGCCAUCUAGUCUGACUUCUCCACCCAGUUAGGAGUAAGGGACAAGCUGAGAUUCCCCCUCAUCCUCGGGUCCUCUAUGCUGGGCACCACGUCAGGUGUUCCCCGCCUUUCUCUACCUCUCCCAUACCAGCCACCAGCAACAACGUGAAAACCUCCUGCCUGGGUGAUACAGGUCCAUUUCCCCAAACCACGCUUGCUCUCAGAGCUCUCAACAGCAAGGCAGGCUGUAAUAGGUCUGUUGGCAUGUCCCAACUGUCAGGCAAGUCUGUUUGGAACCAAGGCUACAAAUUUCUCUUUAUGAUGAGAGGACAGAACCAAGUGUUAAAACCAGCAUCUAUUUCUUUUAAAAACCUAGCAGGUGUCAAAAUAAUUUUAAAGAUAAUCAACAAGAAUGAGCAUGCCAGGCAUGGUGCUGAGUACUUGACGUUCAUCUCACUUAAUCCUCAGAACAACCCUAGCAGGUAGAUUCUGUUACGCCUGCCUUCCAGAUAAGGGAACUGAUGGCUCACAAUGCUGCUCACUUACACAGAGCUACCAAGGGACAGAUCCAAGAACCAAGUCCAUACACAUCUGCCCACGGAGCCAGCUCACUUACAAACAGCCACCUACUCCACCCAGUAACAGGCGGUCUUACCUUUGGUGAGUAACACUUUGCUGCAGCCUGCCCCAGCAGCAGAUCGCAGAAUUGUCCCCAGGUUCCCAGGGUCACGGAGAUUGUCACAAAUCAACGAUAUGGGCAGUGUGUGGCAAAGCUGAGUCUCAGGGUAUGUCAUCUUAACAUGGUCAGGUUUGGCAAAAAUCCCUGAGGAAACAAGAAAUGUGAUUCAUUUGUCUCAUGUGGGUAUGGGGAGUAAUUUGACGUUUUGGUUAUUUAUCACUCUUGGUGUAUUUGUAAUUACAUCCAUGUAAACAUUCUGAUGGAAUAAAUUCAGUGUGCCCCCCGCCAA